rnacentral:rRNA from 1 species
UACGUAGGCAGCGAGCGUUGUUCGGAGUUACUGGGCGUAAAGGGUGUGUAGGCGGUUGUUUAAGUUUGGUGUGAAAUCUCCCGGCUCAACUGGGAGGGUGCGCCGAAUACUGAGUGACUUCGAGUGCGGGAGAGGAAAGUGGAAUUCCUGGUGUAGCGGUGAAAUGCGUAGAUAUCAGGAGGAACACCGGUGGUGUAGACGGCUUUCUGGACCGUAACUGACGCUGAGACACGAAAGCGUGGGUAGCAAACAGG